rnacentral:tRNA from 1 species
UCCCAGAUAGCUCAGUCGGUAGAGCAUCAGACUUUUAAUCUGAGGGUCCAGGGUUCAAGUUCUGUUUGGGCG